AGAGUUUGAUCCUGGCUCAGGACGAACGCUGGCGGCGUGCUUAACACAUGCAAGUCGAGCGGUAAGGCCCUUUCGGGGUACACGAGCGGCGAACGGGUGAGUAACACGUGGGUGAUCUGCCCUGCACUUCGGGAUAAGCCUGGGAAACUGGGUCUAAUACCGGAUAUGACCAAAGGCUGCAUGGCUUUUGGUGGAAAGGUUUACUGGUGCAGGAUGGGCCCGCGGCCUAUCAGCUUGUUGGUGGGGUAAUGGCCUACCAAGGCGACGACGGGUAGCCGACCUGAGAGGGUGACCGGCCACACUGGGACUGAGACACGGCCCAGACUCCUACGGGAGGCAGCAGUGGGGAAUAUUGCACAAUGGGCGAAAGCCUGAUGCAGCGACGCCGCGUGAGGGAUGAAGGCCUUCAGGUUGUAAACCUCUUUCAGCAGGGACGAAGCGCAAGUGACGGUACCUGCAGAAGAAGCACCGGCUAACUACGUGCCAGCAGCCGCGGUAAUACGUAGGGUGCGAGCGUUGUCCGGAAUUACUGGGCGUAAAGAGUUCGUAGGCGGUUUGUCGCGUCGUCUGUGAAAACCCAUCGCUCAACGAUGGGCCGGCAGGCGAUACGGGCAGACUUGAGUACUGCAGGGGAGACUGGAAUUCCUGGUGUAGCGGUGAAAUGCGCAGAUAUCAGGAGGAACACCGGUGGCGAAGGCGGGUCUCUGGGCAGUAACUGACGCUGAGGAACGAAAGCGUGGGUAGCAAACAGGAUUAGAUACCCUGGUAGUCCACGCCGUAAACGGUGGGCGCUAGGUGUGGGUUCCUUCCACGGGAUCUGUGCCGUAGCUAACGCAUUAAGCGCCCCGCCUGGGGAGUACGGCCGCAAGGCUAAAACUCAAAUGAAUUGACGG
rnacentral:rRNA from 1 species